rnacentral:misc_RNA from 1 species
ACUAACCUCAACUUGAAUGUCCAAUUCUUCACUUUCCUCCUUUUCUUCUUUUCUUUCCUUCUUCUAAUGCCUCCUCAAGUGAAGAUAACAAGCUUUUGUGGUUUAAAUUUAAGGAAUUUUAGGGUUUAGUUGGGUGAACUCAAGCUUUGCCAAGCUUUAAUGGUGGUUUUAGCAAUGGAGGAGAGAGAGAGGGUAAGGCUGCCGAAACUUGUAGGAGA